AUAUAUAUAUAUAUUAGUCGUUGGUUUGUGAUGCAUUAGACAUGCUUGUCUGAGACGGUAAUAUCAAGAAGUUCAUUAAGGAGAAAUGUUGAUUACAUAUAUUCCAAUCAGUACACAAGAAGUGUACAAAAGGAUUAUACAAUCAUUAUUGAGGUUGAAAUGUGCCCUAUCUCUCUAUAUAAAUGUAGUACAAUAUAGUUAUGAUUUCAUGGAGUAGGAAUUGGCUUCAGAAUUGGCAAUGGUGGUAGAAGUGGCUUCUUGAAUUUGGGAUCAAGGGGUAGCUUAGGAAUAGGCUUUUUGAAGNNNNN
rnacentral:lncRNA from 1 species